AACGAACGCUGGCGGCAGGCUUAACACAUGCAAGUCGAGCGAGACCUUCGGGUCUAGCGGCGGACGGGUGAGUAACGCGUGGGAACGUGCCCUUCUCUACGGAAUAGCCCCGGGAAACUGGGAGUAAUACCGUAUACGCCCUUUGGGGGAAAGAUUUAUCGGAGAAGGAUCGGCCCGCGUUGGAUUAGGUAGUUGGUGGGGUAAUGGCCCACCAAGCCGACGAUCCAUAGCUGGUUUGAGAGGAUGAUAGGCCACACUGGGACUGAGACACGGCCCAGACGCCGACGGGAGGCAGAAGGAGGGAAUCGUCCGCAAUGGGGGAAAGCCUGACGGAGCAACGCCGCGUGAGUGAUGAAGGGCUUCGGAUCGUGAAACUCUGUGAGUAGGGAAGAACAAAGGUGUAAGUAACUAUGCACGUCUGGACGGUACCUAAGCAGAAAGCCACGGCUAACUACGUG
rnacentral:rRNA from 1 species